AACAUCGCGCACCUGCGGGAACCUGCGGAAGGAUCAUUAAAAAAAGAAUCGAAAGAUUCUAUUUUUAAGAGCUUUACUACUACUUUUUUGUAGGAGUAGAGCUUUUUCCACACUCUGAUAUUAAAUCGUCUUUUGACGAAAAUCUAUAAAUAAUAAUAAACAAAACUUUUAACAAUGGAUCU
rnacentral:misc_RNA from 1 species